CCGGGAAGAGCUCAAAUUUGAAAUCUGGCGUCCUCAGGGCGUCCGAGUUGUAAUCUAUAGAGGCGUUUUCCGUGCCGGACCGUGUCCAAGUUCCUUGGAACAGGAUAUCAAAGAGGGUGACAAUCCCGUACUUGACACGACGACCGGUGCUCUGUGAUACGUCUUCUACGAGUCGAGUUGUUUGGGAAUGCAGCUCAAAAUGGGUGGUGAGUUCCAUCUAAAGCUAAAUAUUGGCGAGAGACCGAUAGCGAACAAGUACCGUGAGGGAAAGAUGAAAAGCACUUUGGAAAGAGAGUUAAACAGUACGUGAAAUUGUUGAAAGGGAAACGAUUGAAGUCAGUCGUGACCGAGAGGCUCAGCCGGUUCUGCCGGUGUAUUCCCCUCGGUCGGGUCAACAUCAGUUUUGUCCGGUGGAUAAGGGCGGUAGGAAGGUGGCACCCUCGGGUGUGUUAUAGCCUGCCGUCGCAUACAUCGGGUGAGACUGAGGAACGCAGCUCGCCUUUAUGGCCGGGGUUCGCCCACGUCCGAGCUUAGGAUGUUGACAUAAUGGCUUUAAACGACCCGUCUU
rnacentral:rRNA from 1 species